rnacentral:rRNA from 1 species
UCAGUGGCGGACGGGUGAGUAACGCGUAGGAAUCUAUCCUUGAAUGGGGGACAACCGUGGGAAACUACGGCUAAUACCGCAUGAUGCCUGAGGGCCAAAGACGAAAGUCGUUUGAGGAGGAGCCUGCGUCUGAUUAGGUAGUUGGUGGGGUAAAGGCCUACCCAAGCCUACGAUCAGUAGCUGGUCUGAGAGGAUGAUCAGCCACACUGGGACUGAGACACGGCCCAGACUCCGUACGGGAGGCAGCAGGUGGGGAAUUAUUGGAACAAGUGGGCGCAAGCCUGAUCCAGCAAUGCCGCGGUGGGUGAAGAAGGUCUCGGAUUAGUAAACGUCCUUUCGGACGGGGACGAUGAUGACCGGUACCCGUAGAAGAAGCCCCGGCUAACUUCGUG